rnacentral:rRNA from 1 species
CGAACCUGCCUCAUACAGAGGGAUAAUCGUGUGAAAACGUGACUAAUACCGCAUGUCAUUACUGGAGGGCAUCCUCCGGUAAGAAAAGGAAGCAAUCCGGUAUGAGAUGGGCCCGCAUCUGAUUAGCUAGUUGGUGAGAUAACAGCCCACCAAGGCGACGAUCAGUAGCCGACCUGAGAGGGUGAUCGGCCACAUUGGGACUGAGACACGGCCCAA